rnacentral:rRNA from 1 species
GAUGAACGCUAGCGGCAGGCUUAAUACAUGCAAGUCGAGGGGCAGCAGGGUGUAGCAAUACAUCGCUGGCGACCGGCAAACGGGUGCGGAACACGUACGCAACCUUCCUUCAAGUGAGGAAUAGCCCAGGGAAACUUGGAUUAAUACCUCGUAACAUUGUGAAGUGGCAUCACUUUACAAUUAUAGCUCAGGCGCUUGGGAGAUGGGCGUGCGACUGAUUAGGUAGUUGGCGGAGUAACAGCCCACCAAGCCUGCGAUCAGUAACUGGUGUGAGAGCACGACCAGUCACACGGGCACUGAGACACGGGCCCGACUCCUACGGGAGCAGCAGUAAGGAAUAUUGGUCAAUGGACGCAAGUCUAGAACCAGCCAUGCCGCGUGGAGGAUG